CCUUCAUUGAACUCAUCAGCGCCGGAGUGUCCAUGGGUUCUUGUCCAUCUUUGAAGUUGAACGACUUUGGUAGCACACUGAACCUUAGAACACUGUUUUCCUCAAGAGGCAUUUCGGCAGGGUUUCCCAUCUCAUAUUUACUUUUCUCUAAUGCAUCACAUUUGCUGGAUGGCACAAUCUCAGGCUUACAUCUUUUCAGUUGUAGUCUUAGGCCAUUUAAGAUUCUCUCUCUUUCAAUGUCUCGUAAAGUCUGCUUGUUAUUUACUGUUCUUGCUAGUGUCGUCUUUUGUGUGGUGACUCGUCUUUUGCAGGAUAAUACAUUCUUUGGGUCUGUGGCAACAGUGGCCACACCAUAACCAUCCACCUUGGGAGCAAAGCGUUUUCCAUAUUGUAGUUUUAAAACUCUGCCCUUAGACUUUGUUGGGACAAAACUGCUCUUCCAUUCAUUUAGGAUGCGAUGUUUAACUGGGGCUUCCACUAAAGUUCUAGUGUUAUACGGCUCCGUUUUCCAAAAGUUAACAUUUACACUGAGUGUUUCAGGAGGUGCCAGAGCUUUGUCCGAAAAAUGUCUUGGUCGAGAAGAAUUAUGGUGCUUGUUUAGGCUAGUUGCUGCAGUCUCAUUUUUUGUUUUUGGCGUGGUACCAAAUAAGGCCAGACUUACAGUGCUGGCCUUCCAGAUUUUUGUCUUAAGUCCAGGUUCUGUAGGCUUCUGGAGUGCUCUCCUUUUUGACGGUCGCUCUUCUUCAAAAGAUUUUGGUGUAGUUGUAUAGGGGGGCUCAAAUUUGACAUUGGUUUCAGUCAAGUUACCCUCAGGAAUGAGUUCAGGGUUGGGACCAAAACAGUCCUUGAUUUUUCUUCGCUUUCCAGAGACAGACAAUUUUGAAUGAGGACUUUCAAAGCAUCUUCGCUUGAGUCCUACCCUUUUUUGUUUAACCUUGCAGAUAUGAUUCCUUUUAGGAGAACGAUGCUUGGGUAUCCUGUGUGCCAAUGAGAGUGAUGAAAGGAAACUGAUUUUAUUUGUUUGUUGGCGUAACUGAUUAAAAUCAGAAUUGGUUACUGUAGGAAUGGCUUCCCCACCUCCAGGGUUCCCUUCUUCCAAAGUGUCAGGUUCUUGUACACAUUCCAUAUUUUUCAUGGGUAGAUCCAGGUCUUUCUGCUUUGGCUCUACAUUGUCCCAAACUAACUCUGACAUUGGGGCAGCUACUUUGAGAAAGUCUUCAUAAUUUGAGAAGACAUCUUCAAUUUCAACUUCAACAAUGUUAGAGCGGUUGAUGAGGGAAACAGGCGGGUCUUCGGAAGAAUCUAAGCUUCUUGUCGUAUCAGUAUAUGGACCAUCAGUCUCAGAACCGCUAUCAGAUAAAACAAUGGUGUGGGCUUCUUCAACGCCUGCAAGUUCAGGCUUCUCAUUUUCACCCUUAUUCUUUUCCCAUAUUCCUUCCAUUGUACCAUUUGUUUUACUGAGAUCCUCUGCAUUCACAGUUUCCUUUGCUGAAACUAAUUUAGUCUUGUUCUGGCAAUUACAGGAGGAAAGGCUGGAUCCACUAAACACUGCCAUCCAACGAGAAAGGCAACAGUAAUCUUCCAUCUCAACAUCAUUGUUCAUAAAUUUCCCAUUCACUCCUUUCGAUGACAUAUCCUCCAAAGAGUCAUUUUUUAAAUCAAUCAUUUUCACAUCCAUUUCCUCAGCUAAUUCAAUAGUUUCCUCAUCUUCUACUUUGUCUUGCAGCACCCGAUCACUAAAAAAGCGCAUAGCCUCUUCGGGUGGCAGCACAUUGAUCACCAGGGAAGAAAAUGGAUCAUUAUGAAUAAAACCGUUGCUUUCUCCCUGAAUAACCGGAGACGUGGUUUGUGUAGAACAGUGUGCUAAAACUGACCCUUCAGUUUCUUUGGCAUCAGAUUCAGAGGAUGUUGGUCUCUUUAUCGGUAUCAGUUCCUCAGUUGGCACAUUACUGGAAAGGUCGGCAGAUUUUUCAUUUUCAGUACACAUAGGAUUCACUUCAUCCUCUCUUUGAAGAGAAUACUGGCCAUACAGCAGUGACCAUGGGAAUCCAAACUCCUUGUCUAUGUCAUCAAGCUGCUCAUUGGUAUUCAACCAUAAGGACUUGUGUUCUGGGAGCCUGGAGUAAACAGAACCAUGUCUUAGGAUGUCACAUUUCUCCCAAACUUUAGCCCAGUUUUUGUACCGGACUUGGGAAAGUAUGACAGACUGUGGUGACAUAUCACAAUCACUACACACAGACCUAACAUCUUCAAGUAUAUUCUGAAAGCCAUUGGAUCUUUGAGCCUCCAUAAGCUUCUCCCCAUCUCCCUCCCAAUAAAGGUUUAUUAUUUUAUUUUCAACCAGUGUUGCAGAGCAUUCUUUAGGUUUAAUUAUUUCUAUCAAGUCCUUCAAUUUACCUAGUGUCCACUUCAUUACAGGAACAGAAGCCAAUUCAUACAUGUCCUCAUCUAAAACUACUUGUUCGUUUGUUUCCUCAUUCAAUGGGUUAACAUGCCGAAGAGUGGUCACUUCUAUGUCAGAUAACUCGUUACUCUGAGUGGCUUGACAUUCAAAAUUUGAUGAUGGUUGAGAAUCCACUUCCUCUGUACGUAAGCAAUUUGAUUGUGACAUUUCAUAUUCAAAAGAUGAAUGUGUCAUGGCCCUUUCAAAAUCAGAUGUUUCUGCUUCCUGAGUAAGUACUUUCUCAGACCCUGAUUCUGAUGCAUCUUCUGGUCUGCUCUUGGGGACCUCUUGUUUAUCUGUCAAAGAUGUAGAAUUAGUAAAGGGUGUUCUGACACGUGAAGGAUGGCCACAAGAGUCUUCUCCAUGAUUGCUCACAUCACCACCUGUGGACAAAGACAUACCUUGAGUAGUCAAAGGAAUUUUAUCAGCUCUGUCAAUAGGUGUGUUUUUCUGCAUACACGGUGAUAGAGGUUGAACAACUGCGAUGGCCUUCUGCAGCACAUUACUUGCAGUAGACCCUUGCAGGACUGAAGCACUUUCAUUACGUUUAUCUCCAACGAAAAAAAGCACAUUUCCUGCUCCAAAUCCAUUUCCACUUUUGUCCUCUGGUACCGUUAUGUAAUAACCCUGCCUUAUAGGGUAUGAUGGAAGUAUAGACUCACAGUUUUGCUGGCCUGAGAACUGCAUACAAUGGUUUGGCACAGACGAAGACGGCUCAGUGUUGGGUUUCAGAUCAUAGGCAUUUCUUUUCUUGUAUUGCAUGGGUUUGAUUGAUUUGGGGUUUGGCACAUUUUGCAGAGAAGGGGCUUCCACCCUGACCGCAUGUCCUGUCUUGUUCCGUAUCUGUCCAUGGGAAUGCUGGCCCGGGUAUGGUGGAGGCGGGUAGUCAGGGGUGCGCUGGAUUGACGAUUGUACACCAUUGUUUGGCACAGAGGAAGAUGGUCCACUGUUAGGCACCUGAACAUAGGUGGCGUCUGCCUUGUAACGCAUGGUAUGGCCUGUGCCUUGCAUAUAUGGCCUACCAUACACAUGUUGUGCAUUAUUUCCAGUGGCUCCUGUCCUGUUGUGUUCCUGUGUUGUUGCGAUGAAACGGCUUGCCAGAUGGUUGGGGACAAGAAGGUUAUGGCUAUGAGUUGGCAUCAACUGCCCCACUGCAGAAUUUGCUACAUUGACCUGGUUGUUUAUGCCCGUGAGCGGUUGAGGGGGAAAUAUUUGACUCUGGUUGGAUGGGCCAGUGUUAACACGUUCUCCAUGUUGAACCCAGUUAAACUCAGUCCUGCUAAUAUUGUUCUGAUUUUGAAAUAUAUGACCCAGCAGUUGGAUAUAGUCAGUAGGAGACAUGGAAGAUGGUCCUGAUGCCAUGUUAUGGGUCUCCUGUGCACUUUGCAAAGAGGUUGGUGUUUCCGUGUGCCCCUGGUUUGGAACUUGAACUGAUAUCCUAGUUGAAUCCUGCCCGCUAAAUACUGUCCAUUGACAAUUGACCUUUUUUUGGCUCCUACCCAUUGCAAGACUAGCAGAGGGCCCUUGUCUACCCGGUGCCAUCUGCUGACUGCCAGCAACUGGCUUUUGGAGAUUAUUAACACUUGCAUUCUGCUGUGCAUUAAUAUAAGUCGUGCUGUGAUGGGCAGCAACCUUCCCAUCUGUUCCUAGCCUCUGUGAAUUGUUAUUAUUUCCACCCAAAGACACAUUUUCCUGUUGGAAAGUGUAGGGAACUGCACUGUUAACCCUUCUAUGCAGGCUUUGAUGGCUUCCACUUUGUGAAGAGUCAAUGAAUUGUGCAGCUUCGUUAUUGUUAGUCAGCAGUGAUAACAACUUGGGAUUUGAAGCCAUUAUAACCUUCUGCUUUGUGGUUGUAGGUUGAGAUAAGUGAAACAUGGAAGACUGUUGAUUCAGGGUCUGUCCACCCCAGUGACCUCCAUUGGUGCGUGGUAGGCAUGGACCUAGUGUAGAUGGGACAGGUGGUCUGACUGGCCCAUACUGAUGAGAAUAAGUCCCACUCGUUUUACCAUUGUUAACUUGGGAACUUUGGGAUUGUCCAGCGAAGGACUGACCCAGUCCAUUUUGUGGCCAGUGGGAGGUUUGCAUUCUUCUUGGCUUCUCAGUCUCAACUUCUGCCCUGUGCUAUGGCAGAAUGAAAAC
ensembl:lncRNA